rnacentral:rRNA from 1 species
AGUAAGGGAUAUUGCGACAAUGGGCGAAAGCCUGACGCAGCAACGCCGCGUGAGGGAUGAAGGCCUUCGGGUCGUAAACCUCUUUUCGGGGAGAAGAGAGAGGACGGUACCCCCGGAAGAAGUCUCGGCUAACUACGUGCCAGCAGCCGCGGUAAAACGUAGGAGGCGAGCGUUAUCCGGAUUUACUGGGUGUAAAGCGCGUGCAGGCGGUUCUGUAAGUGGGGUGUGAAAGCGCCCGGCUCAACCGGGCGAGGACAUUUCAGACUGCGGAACUGGAGGCAGGUAGAGGCGUGUGGAAUUCCGGGUGUAGUGGUGAAAUGCGUAGAUAUCCGGAGGAACACCAGUGGCGAAGGCGACACGCUGGGCCUGACCUGACGCUCAGACGCGAAAGCAUGGGGAGCGAACGGGAUUAGAAACCCCGGUAGUCCAUGCCGUAAACGAUGUCGACUAGGUGUGGGGGGAGUAACAUCUCUCUGUGCCGGAGCCAACGCGAUAAGUCGACCACCUGGGGACUAC